UACGUAGGGGGCGAGCGUUAUCCGGAAUUACUGGGUGUAAAGGGUGAGUAGGCGGCAUGGUAAGCCAGAUGUGAAAGCCUUGGGCUUAACCCGAGGAUUGCAUUUGGAACUAUCAAGCUAGAGUACAGGAGAGGAAAGCGGAAUUCCUAGUGUAGCGGUGAAAUGCGUAGAUAUUAGGAAGAACACCAGUGGCGAAGGCGGCUUUCUGGACUGAAACUGACGCUGAGGCACGAAAGCGUGGGGAGCGAACAGG
rnacentral:rRNA from 1 species